GAUUCAGUCAGUUUUGAAGCUCUGAGCAAGUGGUCAAACUAUUUGUCUGUAUUGGUUGAGGCUGAAGACAUGAGUCCAUGGACAGGGACUACUGAGGAACCUUCAUCAAGAACAAGGAGAUCCACACGCUAACUAGCGAUGAUGGUUUGCCCUCUGACAUGACCUCUGAGGAUGGCUCCACCCUCAACGCUAUAGGCCACGCCCUCAUCCAGAUGCAGCAAGGUGGACAGACCACCCCCUCAUCUCAGUUCCUCAUCACUAGGAGCACCUCAUCUGGUUCAGAGUCUGGCCAAAAUGGUGAGUAAUGGAGGCCAAAUUUAUCAGUGUGACGAUACAUUUUUUGGGGCAAAUCCAAAAGUUAUAGGCCUCGAUAAGUUAUCCAAGUGCUUGUACGUACUAAUUACAUGUAGAACCACGAGUAUUAUUGCUAAUGUUUGAGGUUUCUUCGAAGUGGUGUUGGAAAAAAAUUAUAAAUAAUAGUCAGUUUUUACUAUGUUGUUGUGUGUGUUUAGGUCCUCUGUAUGUGAUGAUCCCACCAUCCAGUAGUGCUGAGAUACUGCAUGCAAUGGGUCGACCUAUAGUACCCAAUAUGAGCGGGAUAUCAACUAUGGAUUAUCACACGGCCGACCCCAUCGUUCAAAUGCAGUUGUCUGGGGAUAUGGCCGCCAAUAGGGAAGCUCAGAGGAAGGCUACACACAAUGAAGGUGAUGCAAAGUCAAUACUGAAAGUUAGUGUACAACAGAUGUACAUGUACUUACGUGGUCAUAAUCACAUUUCCCACAAAGUACAGUUACGAAGCUUUAACAUCAAAUCUGCCACUUCUAAAACUAAUAACAUAAUUAUUUGUUGUAUGGAGGCUAUCCAUCCAUGCUGUAAACGUCUUAAUAAUUAAGUAUGCCUUGACUGUACAGUAGGUGUACGUGUGUGUGUGUGUGAGGUCAAGGUUCAUUCAUUUUGCCAAUUGGCUCAGCUUCAUUGUACAUGCCCUAAGCACGAUAAUUUCGAGUUGUUGUUGUUCUUCCCACGCCCAGUUGAGCGUCGGCGUCGGGACAGGAUCAACAAGCUCAUCAAGGUACUGGCUCAGAUAGUGCCUGCUUGUCAGAAGAAAGACGCAACUACUGGUUCCAUUGUCGGGUAUGUGUACAGCAAGGGAACAGUACUGGACAAGACAGUCUGGCACCUUCGCAAGCACAACCUAUGCACUUGUCAGCUUCGUCACAAUUAUCUCCCCUCUUACAAUCAUCGCUGCCGACUGGAGCCUCUAAUCCAAACACACCACUCUUAAGCUCACUCGUACAAACUCUAUCCUCCAUUGCGAGCACGAGCACUUCUCCAUCCACUCCUGUACCGAAAUCCUCCAUGCUGUCACAAGCCAACAACAAUGGCGGUGGUGGUGGUGGUGGUAGUCUCUCUGCCGCGGCUGCUGCUAGUCUGCUCAACACUCUGAUUCUGGCUCAGAAUGUGCUCACAAGCAACUCAAGUGCUGGUAGCCCCGGGCAAGAUUCAAUGUCUAUGGAAACGGUGGACCAAUCCUCUCAACAGUAGUGUACAGUAUAUUAUAAUUGUGGACUGUUUAUACUGUUCUAGUUUUAACGUGUGUUUUUUAGUAA